UACAGAGGGGGCAAGCGUUAUUCGGAAUUAUUGGGCGUAAAGGGCGCGUAGGCGGCUUUGCAAGUGACGGGUGAAAUCCCUCGGCUUAACCGAGGAACUGCCUGUCAAACUGCAUGGCUUGAGGCCGGGAGAGGUGAGUGGAAUUCCCAGUGUAGCGGUGAAAUGCGUAGAUAUUGGGAGGAACACCAGUGGCGAAGGCGGCUCACUGGACCGGUACUGACGCUGAUGCGCGAAAGCGUGGGGAGCAAACAGG
rnacentral:rRNA from 1 species